rnacentral:snoRNA from 1 species
AGCAGCUGUGUCAAGUUCAGGGCUUGUCCAGCUUACGGCAGGCACUGGCCCAAAAGGCUGCCACAGUAAUACUGUGGCUCAUGGGCCUGACCCCUCUCCUGGGCCUCAGAAGAUAAAUUUGGUUUCAGAUACUA